UAAGUAAAAAUUAGAAAUAAUUUUGUAUUUAUAUAUUUAAAUAAAUCUGUUAAGAAUAUAGUAUUACUUAAAUAAAAAUAAAAAUAAAAUUUUAUACCUUUUGUAUCAGGGUUUAUUAAAAAUAAAAAUUAUUUUUUUUUCCCGAAAAAAAUAAAAAUAAAAUUUUAUAAAAAUUUUUGUUAUAUAACAAUUUUAAAUAUAUUUUAGAAAUAAAAUGUUUACAUUAUUUUUUAUAUCUGGUUAAUUUAAUAAUCUAAUUUAAUUAGGUUUUUAUUUAAAUAUAAAAUUUAUAAUUAAAUUUAUAAAAUAAAAACAAAAAAUAUUUUUUUAAGAAAAAUAUUAAAUAGUAAAAUUUUUAAUUUGAAUAAUUUAAUUUAAAUAAUUUAAUUUAAAUAAAUAUUUUUUAAUUAUUAUCUUAUUUUAAAUAAAUUAAUUUAUUUAAAUUAAAAAUAUAAAAAUAUAAUUAUUAAAUAAGUAAUAUAAAAUAUUAAUUAUAAUCUAUUAAGGAAUUCGGCAAAUUAUAAUUAAUCAAAUGUUUACCAAAAACAUUUCUUAUUGAAUUAUAUAAUAAGUAUAGUCUACCCGGUGAAAUAUUUAACGGUUGUUCUAUGAAUACUAAGGUAGCGUAAUAAUUUAUCAUUUAAAUAAUGAAUAUAAUGAAGAUAUUAUGAAUUAAAAUCUGUCUCUUUAUAUUAAUAUAAAUUUAAUUUUAAGUGAAAAAUCUUAAAUAUAUUUAAAAGACGAGAAGACCCUUUAGAACUUACUUAAAUUUUUAAGUUUACUGGGGAAGUAAAAAUAGAUUUAAAGCUAUUUUUAAAAAAAAAAGUAUUUCUUAGUAAAAUUUUUAUCCAAUAAAAUUAUUGAUUAAAAAGUUACCUUAGGGAUAACAGCAUUAAAAAUAUAAAAAGAUCUUAUUUAUAUAUUUUUUAAUGACCUCGAUGUUGAAUUAAGAUAUUAUUUAAAUGCACAAAUUAAAAAAUAAUUGGUCUGUUCGACCAUUAAAAUCUUACAUGAUUUGAGUUCAAACCGGUGAAAACUAGGUUGGUUUCUAUCUUUAAAUUUAUGAAUAUUGUUAGUACGAAAGGACCAUAAUAUAAAUAUUAUUAUUUUCUAAUAUGGCAGAAAAGUGCAAUGAAUUUAAGAUUCAUAAAUAAAUU
rnacentral:rRNA from 1 species